rnacentral:rRNA from 1 species
GAUGAACGCUGACAGAAUGCUUAACACAUGCAAGUCUUUGGCGAAUCUGUGCUUGCACAGGCUAGCCAAGGCGGACGGGUGAGUAACGCGUAAAGAACUUGCCCUGCAGACAGGGAUAACAGACGGAAACGACUGAUAACACCUGAUACAGUUGCCGGCACGCAUGUGCCCGGCAAUGAAAAGAGAUGCUGCAGGAGAGCUUUGCGUCCUAUUAGCUUGUUGGUGAGGUGACGGCUCACCAAGGCGAUGAUAGGUAGCCGGCCUGAGAGGGUGAACGGCCACAAGGGGACUGAGAUACGGCCCUUACUCCUACUGGAGGCAGCAGUGGGGAAUAUUGGACAAUGGGGGCAAGCCUGAUCCAGCAAUUCUGUGUGCACGAAGAAGGUUUUCGGAUUGUAAAGUGCUUUCAGCAGGGAAGAAGAAAGUGACGGUACCUGCAGAAGAAGCGACGGCUAAAUACGUG